rnacentral:rRNA from 1 species
CUGGUUGACCUCGGAUCAGGUAGGAAUACCCGCUGAACUUAAGCAAAAU